ACGACGCUGGCGGCGUGCCUAACACAUGCAAGUCGAGCGGGGUCCAUCCGGUAGCAAUACCGGGGAAGACCUAGCGGCGAACGGGUGAGUAACACGUGAGAAACCUGCCCCGAAGUCUGGGAUAACCCGAGGAAACUCGAGCUAAUACCGGAUGUCUUCUUCUGAUCGCAUGGUCGGAUGAAGAAAGAUUUAUCGCUUCGGGAGGGUCUCGCGGCCUAUCAGCUAGUUGCGGGGUAACGGCCCACCAAGGCGUCGACGGGUAGCUGGUCUGAGAGGACGAUCAGCCACACUGGGACUGAGACACGGCCCAGACUCCUACGGGAGGCAGCAGUGGGGAAUAUUGCGCAAUGGGCGAAAGCCUGACGCAGCAACGCCGCGUGCGGGAUGAAGGCCUUCGGGUUGUAAACCGCUUUCAGUGGGGACGAAUUCAGACGGUACCCACAGAAGAAGCCCCGGCCAACUACGUG
rnacentral:rRNA from 1 species